UAUUUAUUUAUUUGGUAGAGAUGGAGUUUCGCCAUGUUGCCCAGGCUGCUCUCGAACUCCUGGACUCAAGCGAUCUGCUUGCCUCAGUCUCCCAAAGUGCUGGGAUUACAGGCAUGAGCCACCGUGCCCAGCCUCUAAUAAUCUUUCUAAAGUGCUAGUCUGCUUUAAGCCAGAAUCGUCUUCUACAUUUCUUCCUUUAUUUUACUUUCAGACCAUGCUGAGGUACUUGCAGUUCUCUGACCUCGCUGUGUUCUUUUGCUUCUUGGUCUUCCCACAUGCUCCUACUCUUGCCCAUAUUCCCUUCCCCAGAUUUUACUAUUGAAUAUCUCAGGAAUAGGUUUCUCUUUUACACCACCACCUUCCCUGGGACAUCCUGAGCUUUUCUUUUUACAGCUUUAUUCAUCAUCUACUUCACUAAACAGGAUAACCUUCAGGGAAAAGGCAGUUUUGGUGCACCAUUGUGUGUCUACUGUGUUAAAGGAAUUUUAGUGCCAGAUUUGCUAAUGGUCGUUCUACUGGGCUGAUUUUGGACAGUGGAGCCACUCAUACCACUGCAAUUCCAGUCCACGAUGGCUAUGUCCUUCAACAAGGCAUUGUGAAAUCCCCUCUUGCUGGAGACUUUAUUACUAUGCAGUGCAGAGAACUCUUCCAAGAAAUGAAUAUUGAAUUGGUUCCUCCAUAUAUGAUUGCAUCAAAAGAAGCUGUUCGUGAAGGAUCUCCAGCAAACUGGAAAAGAAAAGAGAAGUUGCCUCAGGUUACGAGGUCUUGGCACAAUUAUAUGUGUAAUUGUGUUAUCCAGGAUUUUCAAGCUUCGGUACUUCAAGUGUCAGAUUCAACUUAUGAUGAACAAGUGGCUGCACAGAUGCCAACUGUUCAUUAUGAAUUCCCCAAUGGCUACAAUUGUGAUUUUGGUGCAGAGCGGCUAAAGAUUCCAGAAGGAUUAUUUGACCCUUCCAAUGUAAAG
rnacentral:sRNA from 1 species